CUUUUCCGGUCUAGAUAUGAAAGGAAUGAGAAAAGAUAUGAUCCAAGAGCUAUGAACAUACUUUGGGAAGACUAUUAAAGGAAUGCAUCAUAAUGUGUCACUGUGUCACAAGAUCAUGGGCUUCCACAUGAGUUCUGUAGCCUUUAAAAUAGACAUCUUGGGGAUGCUCGACAUGAAGAAAAUAAAUUAAAUGUUUCAACGACUCUUUCCUUUGGAUUGCCUUGAGAGUGUCUGGCACUGUUUUAACAUUUUCAGUGGUGACAAGUUCUCUGUCUUUAGAGACUGGUUUUGAAAAAGUGAAGAAAAAAAAGAAAAAAAAAAAAAGGAAAAAGCUGUCCAGAGUUAAGUCUAGAGAGUAAGGUAAUAAUUGCUUUACUUGAAUUUUAAUUGAGAUAUGAAUAUAAAAUAAAA
rnacentral:lncRNA from 1 species